UAUUGUUGGUCUGUGUCUUGGACUGAGCGUCAUGUUUUUGAUCUUUUUCUUGGUCCUGCUGUGGUGCUACAAAAACAAAAAUCUCUCUCAGUCUCCCUCGGCUGUCAGUCCACAGCAAAACAUCAGUCAGACAUCAGAUCAAAAACAGACUGAAGAUGUUUACACUCCACUGCAGUUUGGAGAUUCUCAUCUUUAUGACUGUAUUAUUACAACAGCUAAUAAAGACACAAGCUCAGGAAGUUAAACUGGAAGGGAAGAGAUCAAGAUGUUUCUUCUAGAUCUAUUGGUGUGCCUUAUGCUCAGAUUAACUAAUAACCAGAGGAGGAAAAGACGGCAAUACUUUAACUAAUGCUCAAUAUAAUCAAUAUAAACCUUCAUGUGCAUCAGAGAAAGCUUGCUAUUCUUUAAUUGUCUAAUUGCAUGAUAGUUUUUUAGCAUAUUUUUUAUUAACAUUUCAUGUAAGUCUGGUGUGCAGCAUAUAGCA